rnacentral:snoRNA from 1 species
GUUGCUUCUUACUGGUGAACUCUCUCUAAUUAAUAAAUAGUGAGGGAUGUUCAUGUUUCCGAAGCAUAGAUUAAUAUUUUUUUUGCCAGUUUUAAACAGCGCUGUGUAUGCUUCAAUUGCACUGUUUUGCUACCUGUCUGCUGGUAUAUUU